AGCUUUGCGCAGUGGCAGUAUCGUAGCCAAUGAGGUUUAUCCGUGGUGCGAUUAUUGCUAAUUGAAAACUUUUCCCAAAUACUUAUUUAGUAGAGCCUAUUAUGUCAUAUAGUAAGCUAA
rnacentral:snRNA from 1 species